rnacentral:rRNA from 1 species
GGUGUGGGCAUCGUCGAUGCACCGAAAGGAAGAGGGGGCAACUACACCAUGGACGAAGACAUCUUGCUAUGCAAUACUUGGUUGCAAGUGUCGAGGGAUCCCUCCGUUGGAGAGGAUCAAAGUAGAGAUGCAUAUUGGCUCCGGAUGAAGGAGCACUUUGAUCUACACAACAAAAGUGGAAUUGACCGCUCGGGAAGAUCUCUUCGCUCCCGGUGGUCGACAAUCAAUCAAGAUUGUCAAAGGUGGGCGGCCGCACUUAAGGCGGUUGACUCAUUGAACCCAACUGGCACUAAUGAUAGAGAUAGGGUAAGUGUCAUUUCUUUCAUGAUUCUUCCAUGUUCAUCAUGCUUCUUCUUGGUGUUUCAAGUGCUAACUUGUUCUUUUGUUUGUAGCUCACUAUUGCACAAAACUUAUUCAAGGGAGAGGAGAAGAAGAACAAGAAAGGGAAGAUCAAAAAAGGGAGACCAUUUACCUUCCCUCAUUGCUAUGAAGAAUUGA